UAAAAAUUAGGAAAUGGAAGAUUAAUAUAAUAAUAUUAUUAAAAACCCACCAACCACCAUUGGUGGGUUUUUAAUAAUAUUAUUAUAUUAAUCUUCCAUUUCCUAAUUUUUAGGGAAAAGGGGGGAUAAACUUAAUAUGAUCAGGAAAUAUAUAUAGUUAUGUACCGUAAUGUAAACCGACUCAGGUAUGUUAGUAGAGAAUAUGAAGGUGUAUUAGAUAAUUAAAGGGAAGGAACUCGGCAAAAAUAGCUCUAACGUUAGUCAAUAAAGAGUAAUAAGAACAAAGUUGUACAACUGUUUACUAAAAACACCGCACUUUGCGAAAACGAUAAGUUAAUGUAUAAGGUGUGAACUCUGCUCCAUGCUUAAUAUAUAAAUAAUAUUAUUAUAAUGAUAAUAUUAUUAAAUUUAAGUAAAUAGCAGCCUUAUUAUGAGGGUUCUAAGGUAGCGAAAUUCAUUGUCCAAUAAAUAUGGUCCUGCAUGAAUGACGUAAUGAUACAACAACUGUCUCCCCUUUAAGCUAAGUUAAAUUAAAUUCGUAGUGAAGAUUCUGCGAACCUAUAGUGUGACGGAAAGACCCUAUGCAGCUUUACUGUAAUUAGAUAGAUCGAAUAAUUGUUUAUUUUAUUCAGUAUAUUAAGUAAUUUAUUAUAAUGCAAAUGAGAUACUUAUUUAAAUAAUAUAAUUAUUCUAAUCUUACAUAUUUAAUAUUAAUUGAUAUUUUAUUCUUAAUAUUAUCUCUUUUG
rnacentral:rRNA from 1 species